rnacentral:rRNA from 1 species
CCUACGGGAGGCAGCAGUGGGGAAUAUUGGGCAAUGGGCGCAAGCCUGACCCAGCAACGCCGCGUGAAGGUAAGUGCCUUUCGGGUUGUAAACUUCUUUUCUCAGGGACGAAGCAAGUGACGGUACCUGAGGAAUAAGCCACGGCUAACUACGUCCACGCCGCCGCGGUAAUACGUAGGUGGCAAGCGUUAUCCGGAUUUACUGGGUGUAAGGGUCGUUAAGCCGGGACUGAAAGUAAGAUGUGAAAACCACGGGCUAAAGGUGUGGCCUGCAAUUGAUACUGUAGUUCUGGAGUACGGGAGAGGUAGACGGAAUGUCUGGUGUAGCGGUGAAAUGCGUAGAUAUUAGGCGGAACACCAGUUGCGAAGGC